UACGAACCGUCCAAACGUUAUUCGGAAUCACUGGGCUUAAAGGGUGCGUAGGCGGCCCGAUAAGUUGGGUGUGAAAUCCCUCGGCUCAACCGAGGAAUUGCGCUCAAAACUGUCGGGCUUGAGGAAGAUAGAGGUAAGCGGAACUUAGGGUGGAGCGGUGAAAUGCGUUGAUAUCCUAAGGAACACCGGUGGCGAAAGCGGCUUACUGGGUCUUUACUGACGCUGAGGCACGAAAGCUAGGGUAGCGAACGGG
rnacentral:rRNA from 1 species